GACGAACGCUGGCGGCGUGCCUAAUACAUGCAAGUAGAACGCUGAAGAGAGGAGCUUGCUCUUCUUGGAUGAGUUGCGAACGGGUGAGUAACGCGUAGGUAACCUGCCUUGUAGCGGGGGAUAACUAUUGGAAACGAUAGCUAAUACCGCAUAACAAUGGAUGACACAUGUCAUUUAUUUGAAAGGGGCAAUUGCUCCACUACAAGAUGAACCUGCGUUGUAUUAGCUAGUAGGUGAGGUAACGGCUCACCUAGGCGACGAUACAUAGCCGACCUGAGAGGGUGAUCGGCCACACUGGGACUGAGACACGGCCCAGACUCCUACGGGAGGCAGCAGUAGGGGAUCUUCGGCAAUGGGGGCAACCCUGACCGAGCAACGCCGCGUGAGUGAAGAAGGUUUUCGGAUCGUAAAGCUCUGUUGUAAGUCAAGAACGAGUGUGAGAGUGGAAAGUUCACACUGUGACGGUAGCUUACCAGAAAGGGACGGCUAACUACGUGCCAGCAGCCGCGGUAAUACGUAGGUCCCGAGCGUUGUCCGGAUUUAUUGGGCGUAAAGCGAGCGCAGGCGGUUUGAUAAGUCUGAAGUUAAAGGCUGUGGCUCAACCAUAGUUCGCUUUGGAAACUGUCAAACUUGAGUGCAGAAGGGGAGAGUGGAAUUCCAUGUGUAGCGGUGAAAUGCGUAGAUAUAUGGAGGAACACCGGUGGCGAAAGCGGCUCUCUGGUCUGUAACUGACGCUGAGGCUCGAAAGCGUGGGGAGCGAACAGGAUUAGGUACCCUGGUAGUCCACGCCGUAAACGAUGAGUGCUAGGUGUUGGAUCCUUUCCGGGAUUCAGUGCCGCAGCUAACGCAUUAAGCACUCCGCCUGGGGAGUACGACCGCAAGGUUGAAACUCAAAGGAAUUGACGGGGGCCCGCACAAGCGGUGGAGCAUGUGGUUUAAUUCGAAGCAACGCGAAGAACCUUACCAGGUCUUGACAUCCCGAUGCUAUUUCUAGAGAUAGAAAGUUACUUCGGUACAUCGGUGACAGGUGGUGCAUGGUUGUCGUCAGCUCGUGUCGUGAGAUGUUGGGUUAAGUCCCGCAACGAGCGCAACCCCUAUUGUUAGUUGCCAUCAUUCAGUUGGGCACUCUAGCGAGACUGCCGGUAAUAAACCGGAGGAAGGUGGGGAUGACGUCAAAUCAUCAUGCCCCUUAUGACCUGGGCUACACACGUGCUACAAUGGUUGGUACAACGAGUUGCGAGUCGGUGACGGCAAGCUAAUCUCUUAAAGCCAAUCUCAGUUCGGAUUGUAGGCUGCAACUCGCCUACAUGAAGUCGGAAUCGCUAGUAAUCGCGGAUCAGCACGCCGCGGUGAAUACGUUCCCGGGCCU
rnacentral:rRNA from 1 species